CUACGACGGGUACGGGUUGUGAGAGCAAGAGCCCGGAGAUGGAUUCUGAGACACGAAUCCAGGCCCUACGGGGUGCAGCAGGCGCGAAAACUUUACAAUGCUGGAAACAGCGAUAAGGGGACCUCGAGUGCCAGGUUACAAAUCUGGCUGUCGUGAUGCCUAAAAAGCAUUGCAUAGCAAGGGCCGGGCAAGACCGGUGCCAGCCGCCGCGGUAACACCGGCGGCUCGAGUGGUAACCGUUAUUAUUGGGUCUAAAGGGUCUGUAGCCGGCCGGAUAAGUCUCUUGGGAAAUCUGGCAGCUUAACUGUCAGGCUUUCAGGAGAUACUGUCUGGCUCGAGGCCGGGAGAGGUGAGAGGUACUUCAGGGGUAGGGGUGAAAUCUUGUAAUCCUUGAAGGACCACCAGUGGCGAAGGCGUCUCACCAGAACGGACCUGACGGCAAGGGACGAAAGCUAGGGGCACGAACCGGAUUAGAUACCCGGGUAGUCCUAGCCGUAAACGAUACUCGCUAGGUGUCGGCAACGGUGCGACCGUUGUCGGUGCCGUAGGGAAGCCGUGAAGCGAGCCACCUGGGAAGUACGGCCGCAAGGCUGAAACUUAAAGGAAUUGGCGGGGGAGCAC
rnacentral:rRNA from 1 species